rnacentral:rRNA from 1 species
AGUGAACGCUGGCGGUAGGCCUAACACAUGCAAGUCGAACGGCAGCACAGUAAGAGCUUGCUCUUACGGGUGGCGAGUGGCGGACGGGUGAGGAAUACAUCGGAAUCUACUUUUUCGUGGGGGAUAACGUAGGGAAACUUACGCUAAUACCGCAUACGACCUACGGGUGAAAGCAGGGGAUCUUCGGACCUUGCGCGAUUGAAUGAGCCGAUGUCGGAUUAGCUAGUUGGCGGGGUAAAGGCCCACCAAGGCGACGAUCCGUAGCUGGUCUGAGAGGAUGAUCAGCCACACUGGAACUGGGACACGGUCCAGACUCCUGCGGGAGGCAGCAGUGGGGAAUAUUGGACAAUGGGCGCAAGCCUGAUCCAGCCAUACCGCGUGGGUGACGAAGGCCUUCGGGUUGUAAAGCCCUUUUGUUGGGAAAGAAAAGCAGCAGGUUAAUACCCCGCUGUUCUGACGGUACCCAAAGAAUAAGCACCGGCUAACUUCGUG